UCUCCGUAGGUGAACCUGCGGAGGGAUCAUUACUGAGUGAGGGCUCCGGCCCGACCUCCAACCCCAUGUGAACCGAAACCUGUUGCUUCGGGGGCGACCCUGCCGACGACUCCGUCGCCGGGCGCCCCCGGAGGUCUUCUAAACACUGCAUCUUUGCGUCGGAGUCUUAAUGAAUUUAAACAAAACUUUUAACAACGGAUCUCUUGGUUCUGGCAUCGAUGAAGAACGCAGC
rnacentral:misc_RNA from 1 species